AAAGUUCCAAUUUUUGCCGCAAUAGAGGAAAGUCCGGACAGCACAAGGCACCCCGCUGCGGAAAUCGCAGCCGGGAGUAAUCUUGGGAGGGCCGUAACAGAAAACAACCGCGCUUAAAGCGUAAGGGUGAAAACGCGAGGCAAGAGCUCACGACGCGACAUGGCGACAUGCCGCGGGUACGGUUCCGGGGGCUGCAAGACCAAAUAUACUGGCAGUCAAGGGUCGCCUGCCCGUUGCCAGGGGGUAGGUUGCGCAGAUAAAUGGCAGAUUCAAAAACAGAAACCGGCUUACGGUCCCGCCUUUUUCU
rnacentral:RNase_P_RNA from 1 species